GAUGGACGCUGACAGAAUGCUUAACGCAUGCAAGUCAACUUGAAUUUGGGUUUUUAACUUAGGUUUGGGUGGCGGACGGGUGAGUAACGCGUAAAGAACUUGCCUCACAGCUAGGGACAACAUUUGGAAACGAAUGCUAAUACCUAAUAUUAUGAUAAUAGGGCAUCCUAUAAUUAUGAAAGCUAUAAGCGCUGUGAGAGAGCUUUGCGUCCCAUUAGCUAGUUGGAGAGGUAACGGCUCACCAAGGCGAUGAUGGGUAGCCGGCCUGAGAGGGUGAUCGGCCACAAGGGGACUGAGACACGGCCCUUACUCCUACGGGAGGCAGCAGUGGGGAAUAUUGGACAAUGGACCGAGAGUCUGAUCCAGCAAUUCUGUGUGCACGAUGAAGUUUUUCGGAAUGUAAAGUGCUUUCAGUUGGGAAGAAACAAAUGACGGUACCAACAGAAGAAGUGACGGCUAAAUACGUG
rnacentral:rRNA from 1 species